rnacentral:lncRNA from 1 species
GGAGCUGGCUUGCACUAGAGCACAAAGAAAAGGGCCCAGAAUCAGUCAUUCGACUCAUAUAAAUAGCUAAGGGAGAGUCUUGUUUAAAUGGAAUGAGUCACUACAGCUUUUUUAAAAAAUAUAUAUAGAAACAUGCUAUUUAUGCCUUCAAUGUAUAGAGGUCCCUGUGAUUAACAUUUGGGCUCUAGACACUAAUUUCACAUGUGACAUGGCACAGCAGCAAAUCAUUGUCAAGGGGGUAAUGCCAGGCUUCUGUUUAAGGCCUUCACUUCAGCCAGAAAUUGACAAAUAAAUGCAAAAACUACUUCUGAUCUAAAUAAAUCAUUAAAGCCCAUAUGCCUUAGUUCUGGGCCUUUAAGAUCGUGAAUUUCUAGGUACGUGGGUUUGGAUUCUUAAGAUUCAGCAAGUCUUUCAUGGAUAAAUUAGGGGAAGAGAAAAAUACACCCUAGGGAUUGUGGUCGAGUUGUAGUAUGAUUAAUAUUGUUGCUGCUAAUUUAAUUUUAGAAACUAUCACUUUCCACUUUUGUUUUAAUUAACUAAUUAACAUUGCUUUGAUUAACAUUGUUAUGAGGCCACACUUUGGCUAUCUACUAAACCAACUACUAUCUCAUGCAUAUCUAUUGGCCAAAUUAAAACAGGCUUGGAAUUCCAAGACACUCCAAAUAUUGUCAGAGCUUGGGUGAUUCCAAUGACUUCGAGUUCAUUAAGGCAUUGUUAGUCUGUGCAGAAUGAGGUGAGUGCGAUUUCUCCAUCUUUUGAGUUUUUGUGGCUCUUUUGGUUCCAUGGAUCCUAUUUAUUUCCCAAGGCCAAGAUUCCUUAAAGAAACUCAGUCAGGUUAAAUCAUGACACUUAGCUUUCCCCAUCUGGACUCUUAGAGCAUUUGUUUAUUUAGCACACACUCUUAGCAUCUUUCUUUUUUAAAUUUAUUCAUGUAUCUUUACUGAGACCUGAACACUGCCAAGCUUUGCACUAGGUCUGUAGGCAUUUAUCAGUUGUUUAGUGUAUAUGUACACUCUUUUAACAUCUAUUCAAGGCUCCUUUGAAGACAUUUAUAAUUUCGUCAGUGUCAGCAGUUCUCAGCCGAGCACGUGUACAGGAUGGAUUGAUCCUAAGUCUCUUAAGCAGCAGCUCUCAAGGCUCAUACGGCACACGACUUUCAUAUGUGAAGAUUCAUAAUGAAAGCCGUUGUUUUAAAAAAAUCAAAAGGGUGGAUUUCUAAAACCCAAACAGCACAUCUACAGAACCUGUAUAUACACAUGAACGCAAAAUGAUUUAGUAUGUGCAAAGGACCACAGCUGAAACAAACUUACACAACUUCCAAACUGUUUCUCAGCUUGUAAAUUUUUUAAAGGAAAAAUUAUUUCUAUCACAGUAAAGAGAAUUUAUUCAUUCUGUUGGCCUUGUUGUCCAGAUUUUAUCUAAUAAGACUUUGUCCUUAAAAUAGAAGACAACUCAAAAAUUAUACUUCUUUUAAGUACAUGCUCCAUAAAGAUCAUCCUCUCUCACACUGAGGACACAAAGAUCAAAGCAAACAAAACCAAGUAAACAGAGAAACCAGGAAACCAUCCAUGGGUUUAUCUUAAUCUCUUGAAUGCCAAAAACUAGAUACAAGUAAAUUGAGUGAUAUAAUGGAGUGCUAUAUUAUGAAUCUAUGUUAAAGAAUCAUGGGCAAAAGUAAGCUUUGGGAGAGAAAUAAACUCUAAAAAGAAACAGAUCAAAUAAGAUUCUGUGCAUUUAUUUCAGGCAGGUUCUGCACAUUAUAUUCAGGGUUCUUUCCCUGGGUACUAUAAGACAAUACACAAAUGUUUGCAACUCUCGAUAUAGCAUCCUCCAUGUGCUGCUCUUUCCCCCUCAGAUAGCUGAAGUGGAAAGGAAAAACAGACUUCUUUGCUGUCUUCUCAGAAUCUGAAUCUUAGGGAGUCAUCAGCCUUCACAUUCCCCCAAUGUUCCAUUCAUAACUUCAUUUAUCAAACACUCAAUAACUAUACUUG